AUAUCGAAGGGUUUGAUCCUGGCUCAGAAUGAACGUUGGCGGCGUGGAUUAGGCAUGCAAGUCGUACGGGGCCGCAAGGUACCCGUGGCGCAAGGGUGAGUAAGGCGACGGCAACCUACCCCGAGGACGGCCAUAGCCGCGGGAAACCGCGAGUAAUAGCCGGCGGGGCGGAGAGUCGGCAUCGAUUCUCCGUGAAAGGUGCGAACCCGCCUCGGGACGGGCCGUCGUGGUAUCAGGUUGUUGGUGGGGUAACGGCCCACCAAGCCGAGGACGCCUACCGGGCGUGCGAGCGUGGCCCGGCACACUGGGAC
rnacentral:rRNA from 1 species